rnacentral:rRNA from 1 species
GACGGGGGGGGACAAGUGUUCUUCGGAAUGACUGGGCGUAAAGGGCGCGUAGGCGGUGCGGUAAGUCACCUGUGAAACCUCUGGGCUCAACGUCAGAGCCUGCAGGCGAAACUGCCGUGCUGGAGUGUGGGAGAGGUGCGUGGAAUUCCCGGUGUAGCGGUGAAAUGCGUGGAUAUCGGGAGGACACCUGUGGCGAAAGCGGCGC